GCCCUUGUAGCUCAGAUGGUAGAGCGCCUGAUUUGUAAUCAGGAGGUCACAGGUUCGAGACCUGUCGGGGGCA
rnacentral:tRNA from 1 species